rnacentral:rRNA from 1 species
UACGUAGGGGGCAAGCGUUGUUCGGAAUUACUGGGCGUAAAGGGCGCGUAGGCGGCACGGCAAGUCGGGAGUGAAAGCCCGGGGCUCAACCCCGGAGGGUCUCUCGAAACUGCCGAGCUAGAGUGCGGAAGAGGCAACCGGAAUUCCCAGUGUAGCGGUGAAAUGCGUAGAUAUUGGGAAGAACACCUGAGGCGAAGGCGGGUUGCUGGGCCGACACUGACGCUGAGGCGCGAAAGCCAGGGGAGCAAACGGG